rnacentral:rRNA from 1 species
AAUUUAUCAGCUARGGUAGUAAAACCAAAUAAAACCAAUAAAAAUUGGCGGUUACAAAACUUUUAAAGAAACUCGUUUUAUAAUCGACAACUCCCGAUAAAUUUCACUUUUUAUUAAAGCUUAUAUACCGCCGUUAAAGAAAUGUCAUUAAUACAAAUAUCUCAAUCAAUAAAUUUUACAAAAAUCAGGUCAAGGUGUAACUACAUAAAAAAGAAAAAAUAAGUUACAAUUAAAAAUAAUUUAAGGAAUUAAAUUUUAAAAAAAAAAGAAAAAGAAUUUAUAAAUAUUAAUUAAUUAACAAUCAAUUAAGAAAUUUAAAAUUGUAACGC